GACCGAAUGGCGUAGUGGUUAGUGAGUAGUGACCCUGACUACUGAGCCGAUGGUCCCGGGUUCGAUUCCCGGCUGGGGCA
rnacentral:tRNA from 1 species